CCUAACACAUGACAAGUCGAGCGCUACCCGUCGGGGCGAGCGGCGGACGGGUUAGUAACGCGUGGGAACGUACCCUUUUCUAUGGAAUAGCCUCGGGAAACUGAGAGUAAUACCAUAUAAGCCCGUUCGGGGGAAAGAUUUAUCGGGAAAGGAUCGGCCGCGUUAGAUUAGAUAGUUGGUGGGGUAAUGGCCUACCAAGUCUACGAUCUAUAGCUGGUUUUAGAGGAUGAUCAGCAACACUGGGACUGAGACACGGCCCAGACUCCUACGGGAGGCAGCAGUGGGGAAUCUUAGACAAUGGGCGCAAGCCUGAUCUAGCCAUGCCGCGUGUGUGAUGAAGGUCUUAGGAUCGUAAAGCACUUUCGCCAGGGAUGAUAAUGACAGUACCUGGUAAAGAAACCCCGGCUAACUCCGUG
rnacentral:rRNA from 1 species